rnacentral:rRNA from 1 species
GAUGAACGCUGGCGGCGUGCCUAAUACAUGCAAGUAGAACGCUGAAGGAAGGAGCUUGCUCUUUCCGGAUGAGUUGCGAACGGGUGAGUAACGCGUAGGUAACCUGCCUGGUAGCGGGGGAUAACUAUUGGAAACGAUAGCUAAUACCGCAUAACAGUAGAUGUUGCAUGAUAUCUACUUAAAAGGUGCAAUUGCACCACUACCAGAUGGACCUGCGUUGUAUUAGCUAGUUGGUGAGGUAACGGCUCACCAAGGCGACGAUACAUAGCCGACCUGAGAGGGUGAUCGGCCACAAUGGGACUGAGACAAGGCCCAGACUCCUACGGGAGGCAGCAGGAGGGAAUCUUCGGCAAUGGACGGAAGUCUGAACGAGCAACGCCGCGUGAGUGAAGAAGGGUUUCGGAUCGUAAAGCUCUGUUGUAAGAGAAGAACGAGUGUGAGAGUGGAAAGUUCACACUGUGACGGUAUCUUACCAGAAAGGGACGGCUAACUACGUG